rnacentral:rRNA from 1 species
GACGAACGCUGGCGGCGUGCUUAACACAUGCAAGUCGAACGGAAAGGCCCUGCUUGCAGGGUACUCGAGUGGCGAACGGGUGAGUAACACGUGGGUGAUCUGCCCUGCACUUCGGGAUAAGCCUGGGAAACUGGGUCUAAUACCGGAUAGGAGCCAUUUUUGGUGUGAUGGUUGGAAAGUUUUUUCGGUGUAGGAUGAGCUCGCGGCCUAUCAGCUUGUUGGUGGGGUAAUGGCCUACCAAGGCGGCGACGGGUAGCCGGCCUGAGAGGGUGGACGGCCACAUUGGGACUGAGAUACGGCCCAGACUCCUACGGGAGGCAGCGGUGGGGAAUAUUGCACAAUGGGCGCAAGCCUGAUGCAGCGACGCCGCGUGGGGGAUGACGGCCUUCGGGUUGUAAACUCCUUUCGCUAGGGACGAAGCUUUUUGUGACGGUACCUAGAUAAGAAGCACCGGCUAACUACGUG